rnacentral:lncRNA from 1 species
GGCGGCGGCGAGCUUCAGGUAAAGGGGCGACUGCUGGAGACCUGCGAGAUCGACCAGAGGAGGGAGCUCGCACUCUCUGCUCUCCUCCUUCCUCUUACGCGAACAAGAAGAGGGGUUGUCUCUUCGUUCUUCUGCAAGAAGGGAAGAGAUCUGCAAGAAGAACGAACAGAAGAGGAGAAAGGCCGUUGGGAGAAUUCUGUUCCUCUUGCGCGAAAUCGAAGGAGGGAGAUCCCUCUUUCCUCUCCGUCGGCGAAGGGAGGAAGUGGACGGUCAUCAAUUCCGCUAUCUGGUCUCCUUCUUCUUCUUCUUUGCAGAAGGGAACGGAACCCUAUCGUCUCUGCGGUCGGCGUUCUUCUUGCAUUGUGAAAACAGAGGAGGGCGAAGACGAGAAAAGGGGCUGAGGUUUCUGCUCCAAAGGAGCGAUUGACCAGCUGUGCUGCCAAGGAAAGAAAGCGGCGCCUUGGUUCUUCCUCGUAGAAGGGAACAGAAGAAAGAGGGGGAAACGGAACCUGUUCUGCUCUCUUCUUUCAGCGAGAUCGAAGAAGGUGGGAGAUCUACUCUGUUUCUCUUGAACAGAGGAGGGGUCUCCUUCUUCCUCUUCUAAUCGGGAAAAGGAGCCCGAACAGAGGAGAUCUGCUCUUCCAGCGAGAUCUGAGAAGGAAGAAGAGAGGUUCUCUGCACCGCCCCCUUUCACCUGCUUCUCAUCGGGGAAAAGGGGCUCGGAGGCUGAUUCCUUCUAGCAGAGGUGAGGGACACUCUGCUCUUUCAAGAUCGAGAUCGGUUCUUGAAACUGAAACGGGAACAGAGUGGGAGAAUUCUGAUCUUCGCAGAAAGGAAUGGAAUAGAGGAAAAAUUUCAGUUCUUCUUUCCUCUCUGAUUGGUAGCAACGGGAAGGCUGAAAUUGAACCUUUCUCUCCUGCUCUGCUCGGUGAAACAUAGUUCCUUACCGGGGUGGCAGUUGCAUAAAGGAGAAAAAAAAAAAACGGCCGAGACAUGGCAGCGAUGGUCCCUGGGUCUGGUGACGGUGGCGAGAGGGUAGAUUCGACGACGAGGCUCCCUUCUCAAGUUGCUCGUCCAAUACCUUCUUUU